UAACGGCGAGCGAACCGGG
rnacentral:siRNA from 1 species